AAGUAGCCAAAAAAUUUGCAAGAGCCACCAAGGACUUGAGAUUUUAUAUUCUAAAACAUGAAGAGAAGAGUUGUUAAAUGGCUGCUCUUCUUCUUCGUCGUCGUCGUCAUUUGUUCUAACAAUUCUCUCGUACACUCCUCGAGUGAAGCUGUGCCGUUCAUCUCAUCAUCAAAAGUUUCAGGUCAUCAUUAUGUCAACCCAUUGAUGGAGGGAAAACAACUCAACAAAAGUACGUUAUCCAUCUCACAUUCAUAUAUUUGAGUCAACCUAUUAAGGGUUCAAACCCUAUCGAGCAAAUCCGACGAGAUGUUCUUAAAAGGCAUGGAAGAAUGUUGAAGACAUUACAUAAUGAAGAAAUUAACGCUAGGGAGGAUGCAGGUGAAGAAAACAAAAAAGGGAAAGGAACCUACGGCGGCGGGGACCUUCUUCGGCCUCGUGCCAGAAAGAGUGGAGCCAACUCUUUACUUCUCAAAUCCUCACCACUUAUGCUUAGAUACCUCUUGCUAAUUGGCUUCCACCUCGCCACUAUCUUCUUCUUUUGAUUCCAGCUUUGGUUUUUAUUGAAGUAUAAUGCUUCCAUGCAUCGGGUUUGUAUCUUGCUUAUGUUCAAGUUAUUCAUAUAUUUUUCUCAAUGAGGAAAGAUAUAAUAUUCAUAUAUUA